GUAGUCGUGGCCGAGUGGUUAAGGCGACAGACUUGAAAUCUGUUGGGAUAUUCCCGCGCAGGUUCCAAUCCUGCCGACUACG
rnacentral:tRNA from 1 species